rnacentral:lncRNA from 1 species
UGGACUGGGAUUUAGACCAGAGAGUAAAGCCACAGGUCCUGAUGAAAAUACACCACCAAGGCUUAAAUAAUCAAAGCAUGCCUCUCGCAUUUCCUUCCUUGCCUCAUCAGGGGACGCACAGAAUACUUUGUACAAUGCUCCUGCUAGAGUAUUUAUCGUAGACGCCACAGGCUUCCAGAAAAAAAGUGCCAUUGAAUAUGAUUAGUUUUGAAUAUAACAUUCAGACAUGCAUGCAUGCAAAAUAUCAACUUACCUUGCGCAGUGUAUAGAAGGAUUCCAGGUAUUUGGUUAGAGAAGCUGCAUCGUUAAGAUCACGAAGUGGGUUAAGAAGAUCUCGAAGCACAACAAUAUCAGACAGUGCUACAGUCAUCCCUCCGCCAGUUAAUGGGUGGCGCAUAUUGAAGGCGUC